rnacentral:misc_RNA from 1 species
CAUAAAAUUACAUUUUAUUGGAAGAUUGAAUCAACCUUGAUGAUCCUAGUGGCUGAUCUAGAAAAAAAAAAAGUUGAGUCAACAUAUAUAUAUAUUUUUUUUCUAGGGUUAAUUUUUUUUUAAUAAAAAAAGGGAUCAAUUGAUGUCUCAUUUGUAAGAAUAUACAUCUGUUAAAAAAGUUUAAUAAUUAAAUUUAUGAUGAUUCAAUUUAUGUUUUUUUAAUACAUUCAGCAACGCAUGAGUCUUUUAGAGAGAGAGAAACCUCUCACGAGUUUUCUUUGGUUUCUCCAUUUUCUCGGUUUAGCUCAGCUAGGCGUCUCUUCAGUGGGUGAGGUUCCCUCUCAUCCUUGGUCUGUAAUGUAUAGUUUGGUUAGUUGUGUAUAUCCUGGUUUGUUGUGGAUAUCUGCAAGAGGAAGGGGUGAUUCUGAAGUUGUGUUUGAUUUUGGUGCUUCCUGGGUUUCGUAGUGGUCCCCUGCUGGAUGAUUUUCUGUUGGCUUAUUGAGAGGUUCUUCAAAAGGUUGCUCACGGAUGGUAGAGCUAGCCUUAAUGUGUGGUUGUGGCUUUCCACAGCCAGAUGAGACUAACAGUACUGUGGCUCUGCAUUUUCUUCUCUCCUAUGGUGUCGGUAUUAGCUCAUGGUGCUUGAUCUGGAAGAGUUGGUCUACUUGUUUGGCUGUGGCGGUUUCUUCCCUGCUUUUGCUUGCUUUGAGCCAUCUUGCUUAUCUUUGGAGGAAGGUCUCCCUGUAAUGGUGUCUGGUGGGCAACUCUUGCUUAGUCUUAGUUAGCUGAAGCACUGUGAUGGAAGAAGCCCUAGAUUUAGUUGCUUCAGCGAGGAUUGUUAACUAGGGGUUGAGCUUGUUUGGUUGGGCUUGAUUCGUUGGGUAGGGGUUUGAUUUUAGAAUUCAAGCAUUAGGCGUUAAUUUGUUAUGACGUUGUAUCUACACUGUCAUUGUUUUGCCCAGUGAGCUUUGCGACAAUUUAAAUUUGC